rnacentral:misc_RNA from 1 species
UCUCCGUUGGUGAACCAGCGGAGGGAUCAUUAUCGAGUUUAUAACUCCCAAACCCUAUGUGAACUUACCACUUGUUGCUUCGGCGCGCGCUUCGGCGCCGCCGAGGACACUUAAACUCUUUGUUUUUAUAAGCAUUUCUGAGUGGCCGAAAGGCAAAAAUACAAAUGAAUCAAAACUUUCAACAACGGAUCUCUUGGUUCUG